AUUGAACGCUGGCUGCAGGCCUAACACAUGCAAGUCGAGCGGUAGAGAGAAGCUUGCUUCUCUUGAGAGCGGCGGACGGGUGAGUAAUGCCUAGGAAUCUGCCUGGUAGUGGGGGAUAACGUUCGGAAACGGACGCUAAUACCGCAUACGUCCUACGGGAGAAAGCAGGGGACCUUCGGGCCUUGCGCUAUCAGAUGAGCCUAGGUCGGAUUAGCUAGUUGGUGGGGUAAUGGCUCACCAAGGCGACGAUCCGUAACUGGUCUGAGAGGAUGAUCAGUCACACUGGAACUGAGACACGGUCCAGACUCCUACGGGAGGCAGCAGUGGGGAAUAUUGGACAAUGGGCGAAAGCCUGAUCCAGCCAUGCCGCGUGUGUGAAGAAGGUCUUCGGAUUGUAAAGCACUUUAAGUUGGGAGGAAGGGUUGUAGAUUAAUACUCUGCAAUUUUGACGUUACCGACAGAAUAAGCACCGGCUAACUCUGUG
rnacentral:rRNA from 1 species